AACUCUUAAAUGUUAAAUAUAUUUAACCAUUUAUAUUAUAUUAAUUCUAAUUUUCUUUUUAAACUUAAGUAUAUCUUCGUAUUUUGUACUACUUUUAGGAAAACCUAAAGAACCAAAUGCUUCAUUGAAAUUUUGCUAUUAUCUCUGUACAAACCACAUAAUUCCCCUUUCACUUAAUAAAAGUAUGGUUUUAAUUAAAAUAAAAUUAUUUUUUAUAUUUAAAAUAAAUUCCCCUUUCAUAACACGAUUUUACAAUUAGUAUAUUUUUUAUAUGAAAUGAUAUGAUAAAUUUGUACCUAAUUAUUUUAAAUUAAAAAAUCCUUUAAAGAGAGUAUUAUUUUAAUUUCUGAUAUGAGGCAAUCAUAGAAAAUAUGAAGAAAAAAAAAAAGUGUGUUAAACAAACACCCAUAUCAUUGUAAAACAAACAAGUACAUAUGAGAUCGCCAAGAUAGUAUCCGACUUAGUCCGAUUGGAUUUGUUUAUCCAACUGAAAUCCGACUGGAUUUCUAAUCCGUCAAAUUCAAUCUCCAAAACAAACAUGUCCCUCGUUGAAUUCGCACUACAUACUUAGAGGCUUUUGGUCUGCCCAAGUCAGGACUAGCUGGAUAUGGCCAAAUAUAGAAUUGCCAACUCUAGUCCUAAAAACUUUUAUAUUCCAAGCACACCCAUUAAAUUCACUUAUUCAAACUUUUAAAUGUUAAAUAUAUUUAACCAUUUACAUUAUAUUAAUUCUAAUUUUCUCUUUAAACUUGAGUAUAUCUUCGUAUUUUGUACUACUUUUAGGAAAACCUAAAGAACCAAAUGCUUCAUUGAAAUUUUGCUAUUAUCUUGUUACAAAACACAUAAUUCCCCUUACUUAAAUAAAACGUGUAUGGUUUUUAAUUAAAUAAAAAUUAUUUUUUAUAUUUAAAAUAAAUUCCCUUUAUCAACACGGAUUUUACAAUUAGUAUAUUUUGUAUAUGAAAUGAUAGAUAAUGGUUACCUAUUAUUUUAAAUUAAAAAAUCUUAAAGAGAGUAUUAUUUUAAAAAUGAUGAUAUGAGGGCAAUCAUAGAAAAUAUUGAAGAAACAAAAAGUGUUUACACCCAACACCCAUAUCCAUGUAAAACAAACAAGUACAUAUGUGAGAUUUACAAGAUAGUACAUCCGACUAUAGUCCGUUGUAUUCGGUUAUCCAACCUUAAUCCGACUUGGAUUUCUAAUCAGUCAAAUCAAUCUCCAAAACAAACAUGUCCCUGUUGAAUUCGCCACACUACCAUACUUAGAGGAUUUUGGUUCUGCCCAAGUCAGGACUAGCUGGAUAUGGCCAAAAUAUAGAAUUUGCCAAACUCUAGUCCUAAAAACUUUUAAUUCCAAGCACACCAUUAAAUUCACUUAUUCAACUUUUAAAUGUUAAUAUAUUUAACCAUUUACAUUAUAUUAAUUCUAAUUUCUCUUUAAACUUGAGUAUAGCUUCGUAAAUUUGUACUACUUUUAGGAAAACCUAAGAACCAAAUGCUUGAUUAAAUUUUUGCUUAUCUCUGUACAAACCACAUGAAUUCCACCAUUUAUCCCUAGUCUUUGAUCAGUAUCUUCUAAGUUAUUCCAAAUUCAUUGGUUCCAAUUCCUAAUUUUUAAUGGGCUAUGGGCCCAUAGCCCCUGCAUGUCUUCACUCUAGUAUUAUCCCACAUGCAGCCUGAUGAUCCCAAUGUCCACUUUCCUUUCUUUUCUUUUUUCUGCUAAUUUUUUUAGGAUUGUGAUGUGCAAAAAAUGUUGUUUGAAAAAACACAAAAGAGGGGGGGGGGGGGGGGGGGGGGAAGAAAAUUGCAUGGAUGUCAAGUAUACCGCAUUAUUUGAAUGUAAAUUACGCAUUAUUUGAAUGUAAUUGUCAAUUCUAAAAGUUAAUUUACUGUCAUGUAUGCAUAUAUAGUGAAAAUUCAUUAUAAAUAUAUUGGAGUAUUCGAUAGUAAUAUCACAUCUCACUAAUAACAUAGAUGCGUAGAAUUUAUCACGGGUCUCACUCUCGUAAUCCGAUUAGUUUAAGCUUUUUUUAAGCUCGUAUGAUUAGAUAGACUAACGGAAAAAAAAAAUCAGAUUGGUUCGUAAACCAUGACCACAUUGUUUUUAAUGAAAUAGAUGAUUGUGAAAAGUAUAAGUUUGAAGUUGAACGUCUUAUUUUUUUUAGACAAAUCUACUAAUAAAAUUACAUGGCUAUAAUUAUUAAGUCAACUUAAUUUUUUGUAUGGUUAAUCUACGUUUUUGUAUAGUAGAUUAAAAAAUGUAAACGAUGUAAAUCAUUGAGCUGGAUUUUGGUGAGUCCAACGAUUUGGUAUGGUUGCAAAAGCUAUAGGACAAGUAUUUCUUUCUGUUUUAUUUCGAUUUUUUUUAUUUUAGGCUGUAGUUUUGAAUUUAGGGAUGGACAUUCAACUAGUCGAACUCGCACUACAUAUUUAAAGGGUUUUGGUCUGCCCAAGUCAAAACCAACUCAAUGCGGGCCUAAUAUAAAAUUCCCAAUUCUAGUCA
rnacentral:lncRNA from 1 species